CACGCUUACUGCUGCUGCUCAUUCUUUCUCAGUAAGUCUGAGACAGUCAUGGCUCACUCUCUUGACAGCUGUUUGACAUUACGGGUAAUGCUGCAUUCAACAGAUGGAGGGACUAUGAAUUCCUGGAGGAAGACUCAGGAGUCAGGACAGUGCAUGCAGGACGUGCCAUCUGGAUGGGCGCGGAGACCUAAGAGAAUAAACGAAUACGCUCCUGCCAAAAUAAAUACCACACACACACACACGUGGUCUAAGGAUGCUUUGAGCUGAAUAUGCUGGAGCUGAGGUGCCACCACAACAAGGGCAUCAGGGCACCGAAUCUGGAGAGGGAACAGAGUCCCAAAGCACAUGAAACAUUCAGUCUGAUUUCCCCAACACCCUCACAAAGCAUUACAUUUGACCGCUUAGAAAGAAAGCAAAUGGGACGCAUUAGCAACGGAAAACUGAGUGGCUGGUUCAUA